rnacentral:rRNA from 1 species
GACGAACGCUGGCGGCGUGCCUAACACAUGCAAGUCGAACGGAAGGGCCCUGCUCUUGUGGGGUGCUCGAGUGGCGAACGGGUGAGUAUCACGCGAGUAACCUCUCCCUGUCUGUGGGAUAACAUCAGGAAACAGGGGCUCUAACCGCGUAUGAGCUCUUGCUGCACGGUGGGGGUUGGAAAGUUUCGGCGGUUGGGGAUGGACUCGCGGCUUAUCAGCUUGUUGGUGAGGUAGUGGCUUACCAAGGCUCUGACGGGUAGCCGGCCUGGGAGGGUGACCGGCCACAUUGGGACUGAGAUACGGCCCAGACUGCUACGGGAGGCAGCAGUGGGAAAUAUUGCACAAUGGGCGGAAGCCUGAUGCAGCAGUGCCGCGUGCGGGAUGACGGCCUUCGGGUUGUAAACCGCUUUCGCCUGUGACGAAGCGUGAGUGACGGUAAUGGGUAAAGAAGCAACGGCUAACUACGUG